UACGGAGGGAGCUAGCGUUAUUCGGAAUUACUGGGCGUAAAGCGCACGUAGGCGGCUUUGUAAGUAAGAGGUGAAAGCCCAGAGCUCAACUCUGGAAUUGCCUUUUAGACUGCAUCGCUUGAAUCAUGGAGAGGUCAGUGGAAUUCCGAGUGUAGAGGUGAAAUUCGUAGAUAUUCGGAAGAACACCAGUGGCGAAGGCGGCUGACUGGGCAUGUAUUGACGCUGAGGUGCGAAAGCGUGGGGAGCAAACAGG
rnacentral:rRNA from 1 species